rnacentral:rRNA from 1 species
UUUCCGUAGGGUGAACCUGCGGAGGGAUCAUUA